GCUGUGAUGGCUGACUGGUUAAAGUGUUGGACUUGAAAUCCAGUGAGGUUUCCCUGUGCAGGUUUGAACUCUGCUCACAGCA